UUGGGACUGAGAUACGGCCCAGACUCCUACGGGAGGCAGCAGGGGGGAAUAUUGCACAAUGGGCGCAAGCCUGAUGCAGCGACGCCGCGUGCGGGAUGAAGGCCUUCGGGUUGUAAACCGCUUUUGAUCGGGAGCAAGCCCUUCGGGGGGAGUGUACCCUUCGAAUAAGCACCGGCUAACUACGUGCCAGCAGCCGCGGGAAUACGUAGGGUGCAAGCGUUAUCCGGAAUUAUUGGGCGUAAAGGGCUCGUAGGCGGUUC
rnacentral:rRNA from 1 species